UACGUAGGUAGCAAGCGUUAUCCGGAAUUAUUGGGCGUAAAGCGCGCGCAGGUGGUUUCUUAAGUCUGAUGUGAAAGCCCACGGCUCAACCGUGGAGGGUCAUUGGAAACUGGGAGACUUGAGUGCAGAAGAGGAAAGUGGAAUUCCAUGUGUAGCGGUGAAAUGCGUAGAGAUAUGGAGGAACACCAGUGGCGAAGGCGACUUUCUGGUCUGUAACUGACACUGAGGCGCGAAAGCGUGGGGAGCAAACAGG
rnacentral:rRNA from 1 species